UGGGGAAUAUUGCACAAUGGGCGCAAGCCUGAUGCAGCCAUGCCGCGUGUAUGAAGAAGGCCUUCGGGUUGUAAAGUACUUUCAGUCGGGAGGAAGGUAUCAAGGUUAAUAACCUUGGCAAUUGACGUUACCGACAGAAGAAGCACCGGCUAACUCCGUGCCAGCAGCCGCGGUAAUACGGAGGGUGCAAGCGUUAAUCGGAAUUACUGGGCGUAAAGCGCACGCAAGCGGUUGAUUGAGUCAGAUGUGAAAUCCCCGGGCUUAACCCGGGAAUUGCAUCUGAUACUGGUCAGCUAGAGUCUUGUAGAGGGGGGUAGAAUUCCAUGUGUAGCGGUGAAAUGCGUAGAGAUGUGGAGGAAUACCGGUGGCGAAGGCGGCCCCCUGGACAAAGACUGACGCUCAGGUGCGAAAGCGUGGGGAGCAAACAGG
rnacentral:rRNA from 1 species